UGGGGUAUGGUGUAACGGUAGCACGACGGACUCUGAAUUCGUUAGUCCUAGUUCAAAUCUAGGUACCCCAGCCA
rnacentral:tRNA from 2 species